UACGAAGGGGGCUAGCGUUGUUCGGAUUUACUGGGCGUAAAGCGCACGUUGGCUGAUUGUUAAGUUAGGGGUGAAAUCCCAGGGCUCAACCCUGGAACUGCCUUUAAUACUGGCAAUCUCGAGUCCGGAAGAGGUGAGUGGAAUUCCGAGUGUAGAGGUGAAAUUCGUAGAUAUUCGGAGGAACACCAGUGGCGAAGGCGGCUCACUGGUCCGGUACUGACGCUGAGGUGCGAAAGCGUGGGGAGCAAACAGG
rnacentral:rRNA from 1 species